GCUCAAACAAGCUUGAAUUCUAGAGGAGUGGAGUAUAAAGACACAGUAGAAAUCAAAGGGGACAGCAAACAAACAAGGUAGAAAAGUAGCAGAAGUGGAGGUGAGAGUGGAGUGUGACUCUUUAGGAGAGAGCAAGAGACAGGUAUGUGAUGUAGAAGUUAUCUGGAAGCAUUUCUAAACAGAUGGGUUUUGAGGGACUUCUUAAACGAUUGAAGACUAGGGUAGAGUCUGAUGAGGGUAGGCUGGCUGUUCCAAAGGAAGGGAGCCGC